rnacentral:rRNA from 1 species
UGCAGAAUCCCGUGAACCAUCGAGUCUUUGAACGCAAGUUGCGCCCCAAGCCUUCUGGCCGAGGGCACGUCUGCCUGGGCGUCACAAAUCGUCGUCCCCCUCACGAAAUAUUGCGAGUGUGGGACGGAAGCUGGUCUCCCGUGUGUUACCGCACGCGGUUGACCAAAAUCUGAGCUGAGGAUGCUUGGAGCGUCCCGACAUGCGGUGGUGAUCUAAAGCCUCUUCAUAUUGCCGGUCGCUCCUGUCCGUAAGCUCUCGUUGACCCAAUGUCCUCAAAGCGACCCCAGGUCAGGCGGGAUCACCCGCUGAGUUUAAGCAUAUCAAUAAGCGGAGGAAAAGAAACUAACAAGGAUUCCCUUAGUAACGGCGAGCGAACCGGGAAGAGCCCAGCUUGAAAAUCGGACGUCUUCGGCGUUCGA